rnacentral:rRNA from 1 species
GACGGAGGAUGCAAGUGUUAUCCGGAAUCACUGGGCGUAAAGCGUCUGUAGGUGGUUUAAUAAGUCAACUGUUAAAUCUUGAGGCUCAACCUCAAAAUCGCAGUCGAAACUAUUAAGCUAGAGUAUAGUAGGGGUAAAGGGAAUUUCCAGUGGAGCGGUGAAAUGCGUAGAGAUUGGAAAGAACACCGAUGGCGAAGGCACUUUACUGGGCUAUUACUAACACUCAGAGACGAAAGCUAGGGUAGCAAAUGGG